AAUUUCAAAGUACAUUAAUUUAUACAGUGACUCCAUUUAUUAACUUCUGACCGGUCAUAUUAAAUAAACAACCGGCAAGUGCGAGUCGAAAUCGUAUACCAAAUGUUUUGUAGGUAUUAAGGGUGCAGAGGCAUUACACCUUGGUCGACAGGAAUGGCAAUGCAUAAGGAGUAUCAUGGGCUCUGUAAAGUCUAUGGUACUCUUCACGUCUAUAGGUACCACUUUUUAUUAGGUGGGCCGUCAGCUUGUUUUCCGUUCUAAGUUGAAUAAAAAAACAUUUUUUUUUAUGGAUUUUAUUGCAAUGCAAUAUAAAUCACAAUGGCACUAAAGAAGUCGAUUACAAACUCGUUUGCUCAGCCAAAAACGGACUAUCCUCGAAAAAUUUUUAGGCAGCGUCAUUCGGUAAGGAUUCUAACGUUAUACCAUAUAUCCAAAUCUGUUCAGGCAUUUGUAUCUUGGAAUAAAGAAACUCGCAUACAUGAAAUUAGAAAACAUUACACUCCUUGUUUGGUUGGUCGCGUAACGAGAGCUCCUACGUGAAUUGUGACGUCACUAGACAUUACACGCGAAAGAAAAUUGUGAGUAACUUUCAGAGACUUUCUAUUUAAACGACCAACGUUACAACGUAUGGAAACAAUGAGAAUAUUCAUAACAAAUAACCAGAUUUAGAGGCGCGCGUCAUUAUUCUGUUCAUUAGGAUUGCGCCGUGUCGCCGGCGCCAAGAAUUGCUCGGGAUCAAAAUAAACAUCUCAUUACAUUUCCAAGAAUCGCCAUUUAUAUCUACAUGUUGUGGAUUUGUGAUCAUAAAUAAUUCUGCAACUGAACGCGACCUUGGAACAGUUUUGAUCGAUCGAACUAGGAUGGAAUCAGAUACACGUACAACAAACAACAUAGAGCUAUGUUAUGGCAGGUUUAGGUCAUUGAGAACAUCAAUGUAAGAAAAAGAAAACUAGACAAUGUAUACAAGGGUUAAGGACAUUACGCCAUUAUAUGGUACCCAUGAGAAGAAAUAGCCCCAUAAUUAUGGCGUGUGUACGUGCCAGGGUCACAUUGUUGAUGUGACAAGAUUACAAAUAAUUUGAUGACACGGAUUAUGUUGUCGAUGAGUAGAUGCUCGUACUUCUCUGAAAGGAGUCUUUGAGUUUAGCAGGAAAUUUAUUACAAAUAGGUGAAAUAGGACAAAUAUUUGUGACAUGAAGAAAGUAGUAAGCAAAUAAAGUAUUAAGGGCAUAUUCAGUAGCGUACAAAAGACAUAAAUGAAGUAAGUCCCGCGGAUUAAUAACUUCUAUCAUAGAAAAAGUAUAAUAUACUUCUAUCUAUGAUAUUACCUACAUUAUAAUUGUACCGUCUUGUAAAUUGUGACAUCAUUCGUCAUCAUUUUUCUGCCCUUGUCCCAAUUAUUUGGGUCGGCGUAAUAUGACUGUUGAGUUUCUUGCGGACUCUUCUCAACAGAUAACAAUUUUCCAACCCCUGCAGUAGAUUAAAAAAAAAAAACUAUUUAAAAGUGCUUGUAAACAAGUCUCUUUGAAUAAAGAUGAUUUAAUUUUGAA